UACAAUUGUUAAAUCAUUACUCUUUCAAUUGACUGGUGUUUAAAUUAUUUUCUGUGUUAUGGUAUCGAAGAAAAUUAUCUUUUUCCAUAAAGCACAACAGUUAAAAAAAAAGUUUUAAGAAAUACCUAGUAAUUAUUAAAAUAAAAAAAUAAAAAGUAGUAUAGUUUAACUGUAUGUUAACUUACUAAGAUGCGUGUGUAUAUAUCUUUUAUAGGAGGAUCUUUUACCAUCUGAUAUUGAAAUUAUCCUUGAUGACUUGAAAGCUGGCAAAGUACCCACGCCUGGCCCAAGGAAUGGUCGCUUCUCAUGUGAACCUGCUGGAGGAUUGACUUCUCUGACUGGGCCACCAAGAGGACCUGGGUUUGGAGUUCGUGCAGACCUUUAAGGAGAUUCAAAUUUUAUGUUUAAAAAUGAUUAUGUGCGUAAAUAAAAAUCUACCUGAAAUGAA